UUGGAUGGCAAUAUAGUAAAUGAAUCAGCUGAGCUACUGAUGGAGAAAAGCUCCAACAAAAUUCAAUUCCAACGUGAUAAGAGUGCGGCCUUUGACUCACGAAGCCCUUAUAAACGGAAGAUUGCCAGACUAUCUGGAGGUCGAGAAUAUGUCAUUUCAUCCUUGUACUGUUACUACAGCCUUUCUCUAAGAACCUCCUUGACUGAAGGGAUCUUUGUAAUCCGGUCUGGCCAUUCUUGCCUUCGUGUGGCAUGCGGAAAAGGGGUAAGAGAGUCAAUACUCUCUCAGAGACUAGGCAUGUAAUGCCGGUUUAUCAGCUACACUGAUUUACCCAGACACUACGGUAUGAAGACCCGAGAUACAGAACAGAGGGGCAAUGACAUACAAUACCUGUAAAUGGAUUAUAAAUUUGUGUGGCAGUGGCUUGCCUGAGCCUCACAGCAAGUUGUUAGCAGUGCAGGAACAGGAGAAAGCUGUCUUGGACCAAGACUUACAUGUGAAGCACAGUUAAUUGGUAUGUCACCAUUCCAUGCCACCUGAUACUACAAAUGUUGUCAUACAUUCUUCAUUGUCAUUCUGGUGUGAGAUGCUGUGGAGCUGUAAACAUAGCUCACUUGUCAAAUGGACUCAUAACACUGCUGUAAAAGGUGGCCGUGCAUAGGAAAAACUGACAGCAAGUGGAGUUGUUGCAUGGUUCAUGUUAAAGAAAUCUCCUAUAACAGCAUUAAGGCUGAGAAAAGUCUGUUGCGCUGUUGCAGCCUCAGACAACAGUUAUAAAAGGCAGCACGGAUCACUUCUUUGUGUAAUGAUUUAGACAUGAGAUCAAAGACUGAUGUUUUCAAAGUGGUGGUGUCAAUUCCAGUCAAUAGCUCACUGCUGUGCUGUGGCAUUAAGCCAGGAGGUGGUAGCCUAUGGCAAGACCUUCCCAUCAGAAUACCCCGCUGCUCUGCGACGCUAUGAAAUAAUGUGCAGCCAUGGGCUACCACAACUUGCAAUUCCAAAAAAAAUUACCCUCACAGGGUUUGCUUCUGGGAGCAAGCAACAGAACUUCACAGGAGCUUGAGGACUCUGUGGCCCUGUGUGGGCUUGGCCCUGGGAAAACCAUUCCCAUCUCUUCAGAUCUCUAUAUCUUCUGAGAUGCUCUGGUGUCUCACUGAGUUCUACCGAAGAAGCUAUAUCAUUCAGUGAAGUUAAUGUUUGGAAGUAGCAAGCAUGAAGAAAGGAAAGAAGAAUUUACAGAUAUUUCCUGCAACAACAUGGCUUAAGCACUGGCUUUUCAGAAAGCUUCUUCCUCCCCACAGCACUGCGGUCUGGUGUCCCUCACACAGGAGUGACUCCACAAGUAUUAAGGGAGCACAAUGGAGGUAGAAGGAUGUCCAGAAUAUCUGCAUGUAGAGCCCCUGUGGUGAAGUCUGUCCUGCUAAAGAGUCCAGUUGCCUCCAUCAGAUCUUUGUUGACAUGAGGUGACCUGCCCGAACAAAACUCAAGGUCACCCUGAUGCCCACACCCCUUGUUUGCACAUAGCUACUGACUUUUUGUUGGAGGAUGGCUGGGGCUUGGGGCAGGGCUUCCACAGCUCCGUCGUGUCCCGGUCCUUUCAAAAUUCGUUCUGUUGGUCAUUAGUCCGGCAGAUGUUUUGAAGCUGAUUCUUGGGCGGCAAAUGCAGCAGUAGAGUUGUGCAGGGAGACCUUCAAAGCUAGUUGAGCAGAAUCCCAAAUUUUGCUGCUAAAUUCCUGCCUAUACCCUGUGGAAAUGUGACAUACUCAAGCAAGAGCAUUGGCUUCACCUACAUCUUUUCACUUGUUUGGACGCAUCUGAAUGGACAUCUGAGACUGCUAGUCCAAAGGGCUAGCAGGAGGGUAACUAAACCAUGAGGAACCCUUUCUUUUUUUUUUUUUUUUUUGAGAAGCAGUGAAAGCAGGACUCUUCUGACGGUGGAAUGUAAAUAGUGUGGGCUUUUUUUUAUUUUUUGCAGCAGGGUCUUUGACCAUUGUAAAUUUUUCUGUGGGCUGCUCCAAACAUUAUAAAACAGAUGACAUUCUUCUUUUU